GGGGCCAGGCUCUUUCCCACUGCAAAGGGCAAGAACUUCCAGAGGCUCCACCACAGGGUGCAUUCCCAGCACACAAGCUGGUUGGAAUUUUCCAGAGGGAAGCUCUCUAUGGACGACUGCCCCAGCCACAUUGUUUUGUGAGAACACCCGAUGGAAAACAAUAUAGAAGAUCUUGAACUCACUGCUGGCAAAA